rnacentral:tRNA from 1 species
GCGCCCUUAGCUCAGUGGAUUAGAGCAUCCGGCUACGAACCGGAAGGUCGGGAGUUCGAAUCUCUCAGGGCGUACAA